rnacentral:rRNA from 1 species
CAGUAGCCACGGGAAUACAGAGGGUGCAAGCGUUAAUCGGAAUUACUGGGCGUAAAGCGCGCGUAGGUGGUUUGUUAAGUUGGAUGUGAAAUCCCCGGGCUCAACCUGGGAACUGCAUCCAAAACUGGCAGGCUAGAGUAGGGCAGAGGGUGGUGGAAUUUCCUGUGUAGCGGUGAAAUGCGUAGAUACAGGGAGGAACACCAGUGGCGAAGGCGACCACCUGGGCUCAUACUGACACUGAGGUGCGAAAGCGUGGGGAGCAAACAGGAUUAGAUACCCGCGUAGUCCCUGUCUCUUAUAC